CCCCCCCCCUCUCCCCGAUACCCGGAAUCGCGUCCUCCUCUGCGCCGCCGCUACUGUCCUGCGCCGCCGCCCCUCCCCUGCUCGGGGUCCGGCUUGACUCCUCCCUGCCGGAAUCGCGCCGCCGUCGCCCGGAAUCGCGCCACCCCCGCCCCCGAGUCAAGGUGCACCGCCGCCCCUACCCUCCACAACGUCGAGCAGAUCCACCGCCGGCCCUUCCGUCCCCCGAGACCAAGCAGCGCCGACGCCCCUGCCUUGUCCCCCAACCUGAGCAACGCCGCGAAAAGCGAGGUCCGGAAAAGUGAAAACAAACAAGGCCGAUGACGCACGGAUCCUGCCCCGCAGCCCCCGCCUCUAGACACCCUCCCGUCUGCCCUACUGGCGCCGCAGGUGGAUCUCUAGGACUGGUGCGGCCGCAGGUGGUGCUCUUUGGUGAUUCCAUCACGGAGCAAUCCUUCCGCCCCGGCGGCUGGGGCGCUGCAGUCGCUGACACCUACUCCCGCAAAGCUGAUGUAGUUGUCAGAGGUUAUAGCGGAUACAACACAAGGUGGGCUCUUUUUUUGAUGCACCGCAUCUUUCCGCUGGAUGGUAUUGCGCCACCUCUUGCAACCACUAUAUUCUUCGGAGCUAAUGAUGCGGCCCUUUUGGGAAGAACUAGUGAGCGGCAGCAUGUCCCAGUUUCAGAGUAUAAAGAGAAUCUCAAAAACAUUGUUAAUCAUUUGAAGAAGGCAAUUCGGGAUGAAAUUGGUGAUGCAAAGUUUUGCUUGAUAGUAGAUGAAUCAAGAAGAGAACAGGUGGUACUUGUUCGUUUUGUUGACCAGGAGGGAUUCAUUCGAGAGCGCUUUCUUGAUGUUGUUCAUGUUCAUGACACAACAUCAGCUACUCUUAAACAAGAAUUAUGCUCUGUGUUAUCUAAGCACAAAUUGGAUGUUCAGAAUAUUCGGGGGCAAGGAUAUGAUGGUGCCAGUAACAUGCGUGGAGAAUGGAAUGGACUUCAAGCAAAAUUUGUUGCAGAGUGUCCUUAUGCAUACUAUGUCCACUGUUUUGCUCACCAACUACUGCGACGACGGAACAUGCAUUUUCAGCCAUGAAACUUCUCAAGACAAGACUUCGAAAUAAAAUGGAAGAUGAUUUUCUGAGAGACUGCAUGAUAAUCUAUAUUGAGAGGGAGAUUGCCAUGAAGUUCACGACCGAUUCAAUCAUCGAUGAUCUCUAUGCAAAGAAGAACCGCAAAGUUCGACUUAAAUGAAAAUGAGUGUUCCAAUUCCAUGAUUAUUGUACUUAUCACGCCACCUCCUAUCGAUGAAGAAGGAAGGGAAAGAUUUGCACGGUCACUGUAUGGAGAGAAUGCGAGAAAGCUACCUGAAAGGACAAAUGAAAUGGCUGGUGUCUACGCUGAUCAAUGCAUUGAGCUAGCCAGAGAAAUGCAUAUACCAUGCAUUAAUAUUUGGUCAAAGAUGCAGGAAACUGAAGGAUGGCAAACACUUUACCUAAG